UACGAAGGGGGCUAGCGUUGUUCGGAAUUACUGGGCGUAAAGCGCACGUAGGCGGAAUGUUAAGUCAGGGGUGAAAUCCCGGGGCUCAACCCCGGAACUGCCUUUGAUACUGGCAUUCUCGAGUCCGGAAGAGGUGAGUGGAAUUCCGAGUGUAGAGGUGAAAUUCGUAGAUAUCGUAAGGAAGACCAGUGGCGAAGGCGGGUCUCUGGACAGUUCCUGACGCUGAGGCACGAAGGCCAGGGGAGCAAACGGG
rnacentral:rRNA from 1 species